CGACCGGCGCACGGGUGCGUAACGCGUAUGCAACCUACCUUUAACAGGGGGAUAACACUGAGAAAUUGGUACUAAUACCCCAUAAUAUCAUAGAAGGCAUCUUUUAUGGUUGAAAAUUCCGAUGGUUAGAGAUGGGCAUGCGUUGUAUUAGCUAGUUGGUGGGGUAACGGCUCACCAAGGCGACGAUACAUAGGGGGACUGAGAGGAAGGUCCCCCACAUUGGAACUGAGACACGGUCCAA
rnacentral:rRNA from 1 species